rnacentral:rRNA from 1 species
CCUACGGGAGGCGGCAGUGGGGAAUAUUGCACAAUGGGGGAAACCCUGAUGCAGCGACGCCGCGUGAGUGAAGAAGUAUUUCGGUACGUAAAGCUCUAUCAGCAGGGAAGAAAAUGACGGUACCUGACUAAGAAGCCCCGGCUAACUACGUGCCAGCAGCCGCGGUAAUACGUAGGGGGCAAGCGUUAUCCGGAUUUACUGGGCGUAAAGGGAGUGUAGGCGGAUAUGUAAGAUAGCGGUGAAAUGCCGGGGCUCAACCCCGGAACUGCCAUUAUGACUAUGUAUCUAGAGUAAUGGAGAGGAUAGCGGAAUACCCAGUGUAGAGGUGAAAUUCGUAGAUAUUGGGUAGAACACCGGUGGCGAAGGCGGCUAUCUGGCCAUUUACUGACGCCGAGGCUCGAAAGCAUGGGGAUCAGACAGGAUUAGAUACCCUUGUAGUC